UUGACCUCGGAUCAGGUAGGAAUACCCGCUGAACUUAAGCAUAUCAAUAAGGCGGAGGA
rnacentral:rRNA from 4 species